UGUGGGAGCUGGCUUGCCUGCGAUGCAGGCGACUCGGUCUUUCAGCUAAACCCAGGUGAUGCCAUCGCAGGCAAGCCAGCUCCCACA
rnacentral:misc_RNA from 1 species